UAGCUCACUGGUCAAAUGGAACCGCGCCGAAAAUUCAACGGGGCUAAAGCACUAUACCGAAGCUACGGAAGCAUAGCAAUAUGCUUGGUAGGGGAGCAUUCUGUAGACCUGUGAAGGGAGAUUGUGAGGUCUCUUGGAGGAAUCAGAAGAGAAUAUGUCGGCAUAAGUAGCGUAAAGACUGAUGCGAAGUCAGUCCGCCGUAAACCUAAGGUUUCCUGGGGAAGGUAAAUCCGCCCAGGGUUAGUCGGGCCUAAGAUGAGGCCGCAAGGCGUAAUCGAUGGACAGCAGGUUAAUAUUCCUGCACUGUUUUGUAGUCGUUGAUACUAGGGGGGACGCAGAGAGGUAGUCUGAGCCUGGUGAUGGUUCAGGUCUAAGCGUCGAAGUUUGUGGGUAGGCAAAUCCGCCCACUUUAAGACAGAUGCGCGAUGGGGAAGCGAGUAUUCGUGAACUCAGACGAUCCUGCACUGACAAGAAAAACCUCGAGAGGAGACUAUGGGACAUCCGUACCGCAGACCGACACAGGUAGGUGGGUAGAAGAUACCUAGGCGUACGAGAGAAACCUCGCUAAGGAACUCGGCAAAAUAACCCCGUAACUUCGGGAGAAGGGGUCCCUGUGUAAUGCAGGGCGCAGAUAAAUGGCCCAGGCGACUGUUUAUCAAAAACACAGGUGCCUGCAAACUCGCAAGAGGAAGUAUAGGCACUGACGCCUGCCCGGUGCCGGAAGGUUAAUGGGAGGUGUUAUUCGCAAGGAGAAGCACUGAACUGAAGCCCCGGUAAACGGCGGCCGUAACUAUAACGGUCCUAAGGUAGCGAAAUUCCUUGUCGGGUAAGUUCCGACCUGCACGAAUGGCGUAACGAUUUGGGCACUGUCUCGGCGAGGUGCUCGGCGAACUUAAGUUACCGGUGAAGACGCCGGUUACCCGCAGCUAGACGGAAAGACCCUGUGCACCUUUACUGCAGCUUGGCAUUGAGUUUUGGUGUAGUACGUGUAGGAUAGGUGGGAGGCGAUGAAGGAGAGACGCUAGUUUCUCUGGAGCCAACCUUGAAAUACCACCCUUAGUAUACUGGAGCUCUAACCUACACCUGUAAUCCAGGUGAGGGACAUUGUCUGGCGGGCAGUUUGACUGGGGCGGUCGCCUCCUAAAGAGUAACGGAGGCGUCCAAAGGUUCCCUCAGGCUGGACGGAAAUCAGCCGUAGAGCGCAAAGGCAAAAGGGAGCUUAACUGCGAGAGAGACAUCUCGAGCAGAUACGAAAGUAGGGCUUAGUGAUCCGGUGACUCUGAGUGGAAGGGUCAUCGCUCAACGGAUAAAAGGUACGCCGGGGAUAACAGGCUUAUCGCGUCCAAGAGUUCACAUUGACGACGCGGUUUGGCACCUCGAUGUCGACUCAUCGCAUCCUGGGGCUGAAGCAGGUCCCAAGGGUUCGGCUGUUCGCCGAUUAAAGCGGUACGAGAGUUGGGUUCAGAACGUCGUGAGACAGUUCGGUCCCUAUCUGCUGUGGGCGAAGGAGACUUGAGAGGCGCUGUCCUUAGUACGAGAGGACCGGGAUGGACGAACCUCUAGUGUUCCAGUUGUCAUGCCAGUGGCAAUGCUGGGUAGCUAUGUUCGGAUGAGAUAACCGCUGAAAGCAUCUAAGUGGGAAACUCACCUCAAGAUUAGGUCUCCCGGGUAGUAAUACCCCUAAAGGUCCGUGGUAGACCACCACGUUGAUAGGCUGAAGGUGUAAGUGUGGUAACACAUUGAGCUGAUCAGUACUAAUAGACCGUGUGCCUUGACC
rnacentral:rRNA from 1 species